GACGAACGCUGGCGGCGUGCUUAACACAUGCAAGUCGUACGGUAAGGCCCUUUCGGGGGUACACGAGUGGCGAACGGGUGAGUAACACGUGAGUAACCUGCCCACAACUUUGGGAUAACGCUAGGAAACUGGUGCUAAUACUGGAUAUGUGCUCCUGCUGCAUGGUGGGGGUUGGAAAGCUCCGGCGGUUGUGGAUGGACUCGCGGCCUAUCAGCUUGUUGGUGGGGUAGUGGCCUACCAAGGCGGCGACGGGUAGCCGGCCUGAGAGGGUGACCGGCAACAUUGGGACUGAGAUACGGCCCAGACUCCUACGGGAGGCAGCAGUGGGGAAUAUUGCACAAUGGGCGCAAGCCUGAUGCAGCAACGCCGCGUGCGGGAUGACGGCCUUCGGGUUGUAAACCGCUUUCAGCAGGGACGAAGCUUUUUGUGACGGUACCUGCAGAAGAAGCACCGGCUAACUACGUG
rnacentral:rRNA from 1 species